rnacentral:rRNA from 1 species
AUUGAACGCUGGCGGCAUGCCUUGCACAUGCAAGUCGAACGGUAACAGGUUAAGCUGACGAGUGGCGAACGGGUGAGUAAUGUAUCGGAACGUGCCCAGUCGUGGGGGAUAACUGCCCGAAAGAGCAGCUAAUACCGCAUACGACCUGAGGGUGAAAGCGGGGGAUCGCAAGACCUCGCGCGACUGGAGCGGCCGAUAUCAGAUUAGGUAGUUGGUGAGGUAAAGGCUCACAAAGCCGACGAUCUGUAGGUGGUCUGAGAGGACGACCAGCCACACUGGGACUGAGACACGGCCCAGACUCCUACGGGAGGCAGCAGUGGGGAAUUUUGGACAAUGGGCGCAAGCCUGAUCCAGCCAAGCCGCGUGCGGGAAGAAGGCCUUCGGGUUGUAAACCGCUUUUGUCAGGGAAGAAAAGGUUCUGGCUAAUACCUGGGACUCAUGACGGUACCUGAAGAAUAAGCACCGGCUAACUACGUGCCAGCAGCCGCCGUAAUAC